rnacentral:rRNA from 1 species
UACGUAGGGGGCAAGCGUUGUCCGGAAUCAUUGGGCGUAAAGAGCGUGUAGGCGGCCCGGUAAGUCCGCUGUGAAAGUCCAGGGCUCAACCCUGGGAUGCCGGUGGAUACUGUCGGGCUCGAGUCCGGAAGAGGAGUGUGGAAUUCCUGGUGUAGCGGUGAAAUGCGCAGAUAUCAGGAGGUACACCAAUGGCGAAGGCAGCACUCUGGGACGUGACUGACGCUGAGACGCGAAAGCGUGGGGAGCAAACAGG